AUCCGUAGCCGGUUCGGUAAAUUUUCUGUGAAAUUGUACAGCUUAACUGUACAACGUGCAGGAAAGACUGCCGAACUUGGAACCGGGAGAGGUAUGAGGUAUUCUGGGGGGAGCGGUAAAAUGUUCUGAUCCUCGGAGGACCGCCAAUGGCGAAGGCAUCAUACCAAAACGGAUUCAACGGUGAGGGAUGAAAGCUAGGGGAGCGAUCCGGAUUAAAUACCCGAGUAGUCCUAGCCGUAAACGCUGCCAGUCAGAUGUUGCGCAUUCUACGGGAAUGCGCAGUGUCGAACCGAAGGGGUUAAACUGGCCACCUGGGAAGUACGGUCGCAAGGCUGAAACUUAAAGGAAUUGGCGGGGG
rnacentral:rRNA from 1 species